rnacentral:lncRNA from 1 species
AAAGAAAAAGUUGCAUACCAAUUGCUCUCCUUAAGAAGUUUCCACAUACAAUAGUAAGACAAGUCAUAGACUAUUAUGGAAAUGUCAUGGGCGUUCAAAGGAGAGAGAGAGAGAGAUGACACACGUUUGAGAGAAUCAGGAAAGGGGGUGGCAUAUCAAUGAUCCUUGAGGUAUAAUUAGGAUUUCAAAAUUUAAAGUGGGUAGGUAUAUCCAGGUUAAACUAAGAUCAUAAACAGGGGUGUCAAAAGAUUCAGUACAAUCAAAGGACUAGUUACUUUAGGCUGAAACACGGGGCUAGGGAUGUGAAGAGCUAGAGCUGUGAAGGGAUGAAAUGUGGGGUGGCACCAUACUGGCAGUGGCCAGGUUCUUCGUAGGCAAAAGGCUGAUGAUUUAGGAGCAGGUCUAUGGCAUAAGAAGAAGAUUGUUGCAGCAGAAAUGCCAGAAGCACUGGAAGAUGUAAGCGCCCAAGAGUGGGAAGACCAGUUCGGAUAAGUUAUUGCAGUUUUCAGUAACAGAUGAUAAAGGCCUGCAGUCAGGAGAGCAGAGGGAAUUCAGAGAGCACACGGGACAGGGACAGCAAGAAUCCAGAGUGCGACAGGAGACCUUGAUAGCCAGAGAGCCAGAGUCACUGGAAAUGAUGGAGCUCUACGACUUCCCCCAGAUCUCUCUACUAACUGGGCUUUUCCUUCUCAACCUGGCCCAGCGGUCAUCCCCACGCUGCAACUCUGACCCUCCCACAGGAAGGACCCUCGCAGGUCAGAUUCCGAGGCCGCGGCACCCCACCCGCGGGAUCCCCUAUCGCCCGCG